UUUUCCAUCUCCUAGUUACAGCAAUUGGAACUCGCCCAGAUACAGCACAGAGAUGCUAAUCUCACAGCUCUUGCAGCUAUUGGACCAAGGAAAAAGAGACCACUCGAAUCUGGAAGUGAGGUACUGACAUAGCACUCAUUAUUUUAUUUUUUAUAUCAAGCAAGCAUGCUAAAAAGACGCAGAGAUGGAAAUAGUUUGCCCUGCUCUGCAUGUUGUUGCUGCCAAACUCUUAGACAAUUUUUUCCAGGUUUUUAAGAUGUAUGUCCUUUUGAAAAUUUAUUCCUACUUUUACUUACUCAAACUUCUUCCUUUCCCCCCAUCUCCAGUUGUACUGAGUCUAUUUCAACUUUUUGUUUCUGUGUAUUCUUUCUAGAGGUUUUAUAUAAUCUUUUCCCCUCUGUUUAUCUAAAUCUAGCUCAUCUGUUAAGAUUGAAUCUGCUAUCUUAUUUCUUCCCUGAACCCUGAUUAUUCAUUUCUACACCAACUUCUCCUUUUGUGAGCACUGAAUGUGUUUGCAUGGCUUAAUUGUUGUCUUAUUAUUUCUUGAAAGAAUAUGUUUUCUUAUCUUAGGCUAUAAACUUCUUGAGCAAGGAUUAUUGUCCUAUGGGCUAAUGUUCCCUGUAGAACUGACCGCAUCUAUAUGCUCAAUAAAUAUUGUUAAUUGUUUGAUUAAUACUAAGGAAGGAUCUUAUUUAUAUCUUCAAAGAAAUUAUUUGAAAUAUUAGUCUUUGAGUUGAAUUAUCAGAGCUGACUGAGAUAAAGGUCCCAUAAGAGCACUGGGAUGGGGUCAGCAAUAAAAGAGUGACAACUCAUCUGUUCUGCCCAUAGAAUUUAAAUGAACUUUGAGGCAGCUUCCUACCAGCCUUGACCCUGAAUAUUGACAGUUCCUAAGCAAAUGCCAAUCACCUUAAUCAAAGAAAGAUUAAAUAAUUCUAAUUAUUUUUUAUUUCUAAUAUGAUAUGUUCCUUCGCCCGUACCCAAUCAGAUGUAACUACCAUUAUGUUUUUUCAUAUCUCUUCAGAAAUAUUUUAUGAAUGUGGACAUAUAUCAAGGUGUAUUCCCAAAGCUAUUUGUUUGAUUUUUUUACUUAAAGAUCAAACUAUACCUAUUGUUCUGCCCUUGAUAUUUUCUUCUUCCCAUAAUUUGCUUCAUAUAAUUUGUUUUUCUGGGCAUAUGACAUUACUGUAUUUAGAUAAACCAUAGUUUUUUUUUUUUUCCCCCAAUCAGUUCUUAACAAACAUUAGAUUUUUACUUUUAUUGCCUCAAAGAACACCCUUAUACUUACACUGUAGUGUGCUGGAACAGUGCAGCUAGAGGUGAAAAUCUAGAAAUUGAACCCCUGGAUUGAAGAAUAUGCAUAUUAGGAAAACCUUUAUGGAAAAACUCAAAUGUAUGCAAACAUAGACAGUCUGAGGAUAUAACUCAGUGGUAGAGCACUUCUUAUCAUGUGUAAGCCCCUGAAUGCAAUCCCCCCAGUAUUGGGGAAGGGGGAUAAUGAGCCUCCAUAUACCCUGCUCUACCAACUAUUAAUUUAGGCCUGACCUUGUUUCAUUUAUACCUGCACUAGGUAAGUUUUUCACCUCUCAAACUACUUGAAAGUCAAGCCUACAUUCAUUUAUUCACAACUAUUAUUUAUUGCUUUUGAUUUUUGAUAACUCUUAAAAUUCCCUCUAAAUAACAUUUAUCAGUUUUUAAUAUCCAUUCAUGCCUAUCUUGUAUAUUCCCAUUAAUACUGGAGACUAUGUUUGCCAUCUCAUGAUUGAAAAUGCAAUUUGUAAUAGUGUUUAAGUGAUGAGUAAAUUGAGUAAUUUUUCAUGUGUGUACUGACACAUUCAGUUGGCCUUUUUCCCACUGAAUUUUGUGUUUUAAUUGAUUAAAAAAAGUUAUAAACAUCCCCUCUUAUUUUCUUUUAAGUUUGGGCUUUAUUCACCUAAAAGUUUUUACCUUUAUUCAUCUAAAAUUUUAAUUUUUCUUUCAUUCUGUCUUUUAGGAUUGUUUUCUAUUUAGAAAGUCCAUUGGUAACUAGUACUUUAAUCAUUUUAUUUUGUUAGGUGUAAAUCUUUGGUUCAUGCAGUUCAGAUAUAGGUUUAGCUUUAUUUCUUCCACCCUCCCCUAUUCCCCUCUGGCUAAUAAAUUGUUCCAACACUAUUUACUUAAUAAUUCUUUCCCUACUGAUUUGAAAUGCCACCUUUAUUGCACACAGUUUUGUAUCAAAUGCAAAUUUUCAUAUGUAUUUGAGUCAUUUCUGUACACUGAACCAAUCCUAUCUAAUAGAAUUUUCUAUGGUUAUGUUGAUAAUGCCACAUAUGGCUGUUGAGCUCUUAAAAUGAGGCUAGUAUGACUGAGGAAAUGAUUUUUUAAUUUUUUCAAAAUUAGCAUUAUUUUAAUAGUCAUAUAUGGUUGGUAGCUACUAUAUUGCACAGUGUGGAAGGACUGUUCUCCUGGUUGGAUAGGGGUGUGUACACACACGUACAUACGUGUAAACACACUGGGGAUCAAACCCAGGGCCUCACAUGCUAUGUCAAGAGCUCUAUUACUGAGCUUAUAUCCCUAGCCUCUCUACAUCUAUAGCUGUUUACAUAUUAAUACUAAAGCCUUUUUCUUUUUUUUUUCUGACUUAAGCCAUUUUUAAGUGUAUAGUUAUGUAAUAUUAAGCAUAUUUACAUUCUUGAAAAGAUCUUUUUCAUUUUAUAAAACUAAAAUUCUAUACCCAUUACACAAUUCCUCAUUUCUCCCUUCCCUAACUCUCUGGUCACCCCCAGUCAACUUUUACUUCUAUGAAUUUGACUACUUGGAUAACUCAUAGGAGUGGAAUUGUACAACAUUUGUCCUUUGUGAUUGGCUUAUUUGACUUACCAUAAUGUUCUCAAAGUCCCAUAUGGCAAAACUAGUGUAAUGGUCAAUUUGAAUUGUCAACAUGAUUGGAUUAAGAGAUACCCAGGAUUAGGAGGAUUUUGUGUCAGUGAGGGUGUGUCUAGGAAUGAUUGGCAUGUGGGAUAUUAACUGAAAUGGAGACCCUCCCUAAGCGUGAGCAGCACCAACCAGUAGGUUGAUGUCUUGGAUGGAAUAAAAGUUGCAAGACCAAAGCAGCAGCAGCAGCAGCAGCAGCAGCGGGUGCAAGCUCCAUUCUUCUUGAAUGGCUUCUUGAAUGCUGCUGUGAUCAUGGGAUUCUCGCUUCUUCAUUCUUCCAACGCAGACUCUGAACAGUGAUUGUCCAGAAGGCUUAGGUCUGAAACUAGGGUAACAUCCUUGAUCCCUCUUGUUCUGGGGCUUUGGCCUCUUUGAUUGUGUAGCUGCUGGUUCUUCCAAUUCUCCAGCCUGCAGGCGGCCAUUGUGGACUGUCCAGCUUCUGGUCUGCUUUUCAUAAUUACACUUCCUGUUGAUUCUGUUCCUCUACAGAACCCUAAUACAACUAGUCCAGUAGAGAAAUUUUCAUUUCUACUUUUCUAGUGUGGGACAACCCACUACCCCAUUUUUUUUUUUUGGUUCACUUAUAUAUCAAUGUGUGUAAAUAUCUUAUUAAAAUUGGGGCAUUUCUCAUUAAGGAUAUUAUAAAUAGGCCUUGUUAAGCAUAGUUUUUCUUUUAUGAGAAGAAUACUUAAUAAUUUUUUCAUCCACGUAGAUAUUAUUUAUAGUAUUAUAACUCAUUUGAAAACGAGUUAUAAAGAUGUCUAAGUUCCUUUCCUACUUUUCUAUUCUAGUAGCAUUAUAUAACAAAUUAUUUUAAAUGCUCACAUGCAGGAAAUCAUCAUGGCACAUGGGGUUAUACAUAUACAUUGGAUUUAGACACAUCUGAGUUUCAUGGUUGCCUCUGUUAGACUUUGUAAUUUUGGACAAAUUCUUUAAACCCCAGUCCUCAAUUAGCCUGCUCUGUUAGAUGGGUAUAAUUACCUGCCUUACAAUGCUUUAAGGAUUUGUUUAUUUGAAGUACUUAAUUAGUUUCUGGCCUCAGAUAAGUGCUUAAUAAUUUUUAAUAUUUAUCAUCAUACUUAUAACACCAUUAUUUCAGCCCUAAUUAUUCGUGAAUUUGAAAUGUUAAUCAUUAAUUUCUCCAUUCAUUUUAGUCUUGUUUGAGUUUGUCACAAAUUUAGAGAUAUUAAAUGUUUUCCAAUUUAUAAGUCAGAUUUUUAAGUGUUUUUUAUUCAUUGUAUAUUUGAGUCCCUAGGAGUAUUACAAGAAGCAAAUGUGACAUUUGUCUUCAAAGCAGUGUUAAAGUCAAUUUAUGUGACUUACCUCUUAGUAUUAAGAUGUAAAAAUAUUUAAUUUUUUUCUUUCAAAACAGAUGUUUUGUGAUUUGGAUAUAAAUAUAUUGAACUGCCUGGCUCCCAUUGUGUUGCCUUGAAUUUAAGCUUAGGUAGACGUCGGACAUUUGGUUAAUGCUAUUUUGAACUGAACUAUUUCUUCAAUCAAGUGGUGACAUUUUAGUAUAAUUCUUAUCUGAAAAUUAGCUGAAGACUACUUUUAUUUUGUUGAUUUUUAUUCACGGUAUUUUAACCAUAAGUCUUUUUUUAAUAUUUAUUUUUUAGUUAUAGGUGAAUACACAAUAUCUUUAUUUCAUUUUUAUGUAGUGCUGAGGAUUGAACCCAGUAUCUCACAUGUGCUAGGCAAGCACUCUACCACUGAGCCACAACCCCAGCACCCCCCCCACACACACACACUUUUUAAUGGGAAACAGGAACCCUGUUGCAUGUUUGUUCAGUAUUUAAGUACAUUGGUGAUUUGUUGGCUCCUCCAAUAACUUGAAUUGCAUUAGUCAGAUUGUCUAUUUACUUCCUUUAUUCUCUCACAAAUAAGAUAGAAAUGAUGCAUGAAAUAAUUUUUAGUUUUAAUAUUCUGUAUUCUGUAAAUAGGCUUUGUUAUUUGCUUCAUCCUUUAUAUAUGAGAACCUGAAAUCUUGCCUAUUUGAUUUAAAUUUUAGAAAAAGCAUAUAAUCCCAGAAGGAAGCAGAAUAGGGUAUGGUUCUCUUUGUUCAAAUCCAGGCUUUUUUUAUUUCAGAAAGUUAGACUUAGUACCUGUAAAAUUCAGAAAUUACCAUUUUUUUGUUGAUGGUAAAUUGGAGGAAUUAGUAUUUUUUUCUGUCAUAAUAAAACAAAGUGUAAAACUUCCUCUUUCCUUAAAAAUAAUAUAUUUGUAAAAGAUGUAUAUUUACCUGGCCUUUGAAAGUUGAUACUAAUAUCUUUAGAAGUCUUGGUAAAGCUGAAAAGCACCAGAUACUGUCUCCUCUGAUUGUCUUGACAAAGAGCAGUCAGUACCAGUUAUCAUUUUGAAGCAAAAAUUUAUACCAUGAGUCUACUGGCUUGGGGGAGAGAGUUAAAAUUUACUACAGUGGAAUACAUUCGAUAUAUCCUUAAUUUACUGAUGUGGUUUGAAGUGGAUGAAGUUAGUUUUUGAAUUAAGUAAGCUGUACAGAUAUUGAUAUAGAAAAACAGAAAAUUCUUUAAUAUUUAUCAUAUUUGCUUGUGUGUUUUGUGUAUAGAUAUUAUGCAGAUAAUGUGUUUGGGGUUCUGUGGAAUUUUAAAACUUUACUUCCUGUGUUAAAGAUCCUUGAAUCAGAAAGAAUCUAUCCUUUUCCCCCAUUAGCAGUGCUUUCAAAUAGUUCUGUGAUGUAUUAAUGGCCCAACAUUAAUAACAAUGUUUUUUUUGUUGAAAUGUAAGAGUAGGUUCAUUUUAACCUUAAAAUAUGUCUUUAAAAAUCACAUGAUUAUAUAUAAAAUCAAUUUUGGAGUUACAAAAGUACAGAGAAGGGACCCAACUUCUUACUGGUCAUAUUUAACAAUUUUUAGACUUUAUAUUGCUGUGAAAGCCAUGAGCAUUCAGUAGAAACCACACUUCAAAUUUUGUAUAUGUAUACCUGGUAUAUUUUGCUUAAAAUACACCUUACACAGUAUUCCCUUUCUUCUCCGAGUUGUUUCCAUGUUUCAGUGGUGUACUCUUUCUGGGGAGUGAAAGCCAGCUAGUUCAGUAGAAGUGAUGAUGCCCCUGAUUUUUAAAACAAGCACAGAAAACAUUCACUAACAGCUUCCCGCCCAUAACAAAAAAUAAAGUCUGACAAAGCUGGAUGGGAGUGUCCUGAAAAGGCAGUGAUGGCAUCAGAGAGGAUUCUAUUCAAGAGUACUUGGAACUCUGAUAGUUGGUGUGUGUCCAUAUGAGCCAAAAGGAAAUUCAGGAAGCAGAGUGUGAUGGAGUCCGUUACUUUGUCUUCUUCAGAGAAGAUGGUAUUAGGGAUUUAUGGGGAAAAGUAAUUUUCUUCAUCACUGCUUUCCUGUGAGUUCAUUCCAGCCUUUAUUGGGAUACAGCUUCCCCCGGAUGCAGCACUAGGACCUGUGGUAGUCCUCUCAAACAUAGACUGCCCUCACAUUUCUUUGUAUCUCUCAGAAAAUAUUUUGUUUUUAUUUUGUGCCUUUUCUAUUCCUAUCUAAUUUAUAAAAGGAUAAUUAUACAGAAAUAUUAAAACCAGAACUCCUUGGAAUGUAAUACUUAGAUCAAAGUUCAGGAAUAACUUUCUGAAAGUGUUUAAACUAGCAUGAAUUUAUCUUGGUAUAUAAUCCCUGAGAUUAUUUCUGGUGUUAGCCUUCUAUAAGUCUCUUAAGAUUCUUUGAAAUGAAGAGUAAUCUCCCUGAAAGAGUAUUAUAGAAAGAAGAUCACUCAGUCAACAAAUGAUAGUGAUUUUGUCGGGGAGGGAGAGCUCUUAUGUUUGCCGUAAUACUGCUUACUUACUAGAGCUUUUUAUUUAAGAGGAGGUGUUUGACUAUGGUCACGGAACGUGUCUAAUUGGUAUAGAAGAAUAGGAAAAAUAGCUCUUAAGUUUCUUGGAUAUCCUUUUUGAAAGAUUCCAUGUAUAUAUUAGGUUAAACCAUGUGAUCUUGCCCAUUUUAUUGGUGAAAAUGAAUAUAUAAUUCAAUUACAUAUGCAUAAUUCAGAAAAUACAUAUAUGCUGGGCUUGGUGGCACAUGUAAUCCCAGUGGCUCAGGAGGCUGGAGCAGGAAGAUAGCAAGUUUGAGACUAGCCUUAGCAAAUUAGUGAGGUCCAAACCAACUUGGUGAGACCCUGUCUUAGAAUAAAAGAACUGAGAAUGUAGCUCAGUGCUAAGUGCCUCUGGAUUCAAUCUCUAGAACCAAUUAAAAAAAAAAAAGAAACAAAAAAAAAACAGUACAUACUAUUAAUAGUUUACCUUCAUCAAGCAAUUAGAAUGUAUUAUUUUCAUUAGACUUCACAAUUUCUCUGUAAGCUUAUACUGUUGCUUUCUCUAAAUGAAAAACACGAGUUACAGAGAGGAUUAGUUGCCAUCUAAAAUUACAUGGUUAUUAAGUAGAGGAACCCAUAUACACUUCUACAGAAUUUGGUGUUUGAGUUCUUAUUCAAUAUGAUCCCAUUAUAGGUCAUAAUGGGAUCAUAUUGAAUAUGCUGUACUACAACUUGUAGACAAUCUAUUUUGGACUUUGUAUUAGCAGGGCUCUCCAGAGAAACAGAAUCAACAAGGUAUAUAUAGAUAUCUAAGAGGGAAUUUUUAAAUGGGGAUUAGCUCACACAACUAGGGAGGCUGGAAACUCCUAUGAUAUGUUGUAUGCAACUUGGAGAUACAGGAAAUUUGGUGGUGUAAUUUAGCCUGAUUUUUGAAAACCAGGGGAGCCAGUGAUGUAACUCUCAGUCCAAGGCAGAAGAGAAUUGAGUAUUGGUAUAAUUUCUGGAGUAAGAACCUGGGCUCUGAUGUCUAAAGGCAGGGGAGCAUGAGUGUCUUUGUUCCAGAAGACAGCAAAUUUGCCCUUCUAUCUUUUUGCUCUGUGGGUCCUUUGUGGAUUAGAUCAUGCCCUCCCAAAUGGUGAGGGUGGAUCUUUUAUAUUCAGUCUACUAAUCAAAUGCUAGUCUCAUCUGAAAAGACUUAUAUUACAAAGUAAUAUUCUCCCAGUUGUCUGGGUACCCCUAAAUUCAGUCAAGCUGACACAUAAAUUAACUAUGAAAGACAUUUUCCCAUACAGGUACCUGCUCUUGUGUCAUAAUUCAUUGAUCCACUGAUUGGUAGACAUUGAGAAUAUUUUCACUUAUUUAUUAUAAACAAUGAACAUCUAUAUCUUAAUAAACUCAUUUAUUUUGUAGGAUUGAUUUCUAGAAGUAGAAAUUCUGGGUCAAAGUAUAUGUACAUCCUAAAAUUUAAUAAAUAAAUAUUUUCAUAAUAUAAAUAUCAUGUCUAAAAAUAGCAAUAUCUAAAAAUAUCAUGUCAUUUUCUACCAAUGAGUGCCUAUUUAUUCAUUCCCUUGCUAGCAACAUAUAUGAUCAUUUCUAAAUGUUUGUCACUACAGUUUUUAUUUAUUGCAUCUCUACCAUUUCAAAGUGUCCUCAAAGUUGAGGUUCUGUUUCUAUGUGGAAACAUGGUACAGAAGUGUUGGGAACCUCUGAAAUACCCUUUAAUACCUGGAUUUUAAAUGUUUAUUUAAAUACUAAAAUCAUUUACAGAAAAUUUUCCAUAAUAGAAAUGUGUAUGUUUUGAAACAGAAAACCAGAUUGAAUUGUUAUGGAUAUUUGGAUGACAUUAAGUGGACAUUAUUUUCUUGACCAUAUUUGCUAUUUCUUAUCACUUGAGGGUAUGGUUAGAUUAUAAUUGUAAUAUUGUCUGAAAUGAUUUUAGAAAGACCAAAGCCUUAAUAUAGUUUGAGACAAACUAUUUCUCAAAGAAAGGUAUCUCCUUCUGGUUGCCAUUCCAGGUGAUUCUUCCAUCUGGAAAGAUACUAAGUAAUUUAACUAAAAGGCUACUGAUCUGAAAGCCCCAAAUUUUAUCUUCAUUUCCUUAAGGGGCUCAGGUAGUAACCAUUCUUUACCCCCAUCUUCUACCAGACUGUUUUUGGCGGGGGGAGGUGUCAGUGAGGACUGAUAACAGACAAGUGUUCAGCUUUUGCUAUUAUCAUAGCAGACUUAUGAGAGGUUUAAACCAAUUUGUUGUCAUCUAAUGCUGUUUAUCAGUAUCAUAUAGAUUCAGUAGAAUUUAGAGAAUUUUAUUACUUCAGAUAAAGAAGCAGUUCUUUAUAUUUUAAAGUAUAGUUUUUGUGUUCUGUUUUGUUCAUUCUAAAUUAAACAUAUCCACCUCUUUAUCUAUAAGUGACCUAAAUAUAAAUCUCAACUUAAAAAUUGACUUUUUGGGGUCAGCUAUCUUUAGUGACUUUCUGUGAAAUGUGUUGAAUUGCACAUUAUGGGUUUAUCUUUCCUUCUCCCCAAAUUCCCCAUAAAUGAUCUUUAUUUGCAAGAAUAAAGAAUAGCAAUAAGUAUUCGGUAGUAUUUAAUAGUUAUGUGACUUUUAAAUACGAAAAAAUUGGCAAGGAUUACCAGUUAAUUGAGGAAAUCCUCUUCUGCAGAAAAUAAAAGGCAGAAUAUGGAAGAAAAACAAGGUAUGAAGCAGAAGGAAUUUGAAGGGAGAAAAAAAGGAAAAAAGAAAGGAAGUGGAAUAUAUCACAACCAUUGUACAAAAUUAGAAGACUAAUUUAAAAUAAUCAGAGAAAGUGAAUGACUCUUUGGAAAUGGAAAAUAUGAUGCCAGAAAUAAGCAAUAUUAGAAGAAUUGCAGGUUAGUCAUGACAACCUCAAGUAAAUAUUGGAAAAAAAAAAAAAGAAGAAGAAAGUGUGCUAAAUUUGUAUUGGGUCAGAUUAGCUAAUCUAGAACUGUUUCCCAGAAUCCUUUUUCUUUUGUAGUUCAUGGUGAGCAUGGGCCUUGCGGUGUUUUGAUUCUAAAAAGUAGAAGUGAAACCCCAGUCAUUGUCUUGUAUUUGGCAGAUUGGUGUGGGUAUACUAGGCGUUAUUGUCCUUGCAAACAUCAUUGACAUGGAGGGCUCUUCAGCUCCUCCUCUCUGGGCUUCUCCAAACAUUGAGCUAAACUCAGCACCAAUACAGAGUCGACAGCUGAACAUAAGCUGUCUAACCAGGCUCACAAUUACAGGUAGCCAAAUCUCCAUAUUCUAUAUCAUCUCUUGUAUUCUCUGAGCAAAUGCUAACUGAUGUAGAAAUUUGUACUGUAGUUAGCUACAGAGAAAUAGCACCUUGAACAUGGUUUCCUGAAUUAGUUCUGGGUUUUGUAGAAUUGUUUCUCUAAUUAGAUCUAAAGAUAAUAAUUACCCUGUUUUUAGUAGUAAAGGUGACAAGGUAGUCCAUGGCACUCAGUGAAAAAGUAAUUACCAAUUGUAGACACUAAAAAUCAAGUGCCCUUGGAAGGCACAGUUUUUAGGACAACAGGUAUUUACUACCACAGAACACUUAAGUGAAAACAUGAGUUGUGGGAUAGGUAUUUUUCUUCACAGAACACUGGAGAACUUAGGCAAAGAAAAGGCUUCAAAUUCUGAGCUCAGAAUCCACAGAAGGAAAUUAAAGCCUCUGUGAUUGCCCUAAGAGAAAUCUUUACUUCUUGUAUCCAAAAGCAGAGAUUUCUGGAAACUAAAUCUAAAAUCUAUUCCUGCAGGUAACUGAAUUAUAACACAAAUUGAAUUUCUAGUCUUGUCCAAUUUUUUUGUGUUAAAAUUGUAAUAUUUUGUGGGGGGAAAAUGGAAACCAAAAAUUGAGAACUGGAAUAUGAAUAGAUUCUUAUGAAGGUGGGUAGCUAAUUCCUCAGUUUUGUCCUGCCAUCUGUGCCAGUCCUUCUAGCCCUGUCUAAGGGAGGUUAGUCUCUGAAGGUAAGUGGACUGCUUCCCUUGCAAAUGGACUACUGAUCUUCCUCAGAACCUCCCUUCACUACUUCUCAUUGCUUCUAUACCUAUAAUCAGGCUCAUCUUACAGUGUCCAUAGGAUGUGGUACUAAGUGUGACCCAUGAUGACACAAAUUGCAUGGUUUUGCCUGAAUCCUGGGGCGGUGGGAAGUGGCGGGGAUGGAAUGAAUGGACCUGAGUAUAGAUUCAGAGUAGAAGGCUAUAAAGUUGGACCAGGCUGACUUUAUUGAUAGGGAUUCACCAAACAAAGAUUUUUGAUAGAAGAUAUUAGGUCAGAGGGCUAGGAAAGGCUUUUAAUAAGGGUUUAUUUGUUUAUUUUGGGUUGGUUGAAAGACCCAAAGGUGGCCAAAACUAAGUGACAAUAGAGUUGUAUUGUAUAGUAUGCAUAUUUGUUUCCAAAGGCUUUAGAGAUUGAGAUGACAGAGGAAAUUUAUCAUGUAAGACUUGAUCACAUAUGUCCUUCUGGUGUGUCCAGAGGAGACUUCUUUUAUCAUACUUAGGAGAAAUACAUUCAUGAAGGGAACCUCAGCAACCUUGAACAGCUCUGCUAUUUGCUUUAAGCUGGUUAUGAAGGGGAGCUCCUGCCAUCAAACUAGGCUCCCUGAAUUUAUUGUGAAUGAUGGAAUCCCAGGUGACAGAAACAAAUAGCAGAACUUAAUUGCUAAAGAUAAGGUGGAUUUGGUUACUGUCAGAGUUAGUAAAGCCAAUUCAGGAAUCAGAAUAGUCUGAGUUACAGAUAUUUGGUAUUGACGAGUCAAUCAUGAUAUUCUAGGUCUAAAAUAGAUGGUCAGCCUGUUAAGUUUCCCUGGAUUUGUCUAAACAGAAGAACUCUAGGUAUGGUAAAGAGAAGUAUGACUUGGAUUAAGUCAGUAAAAGCUACAGGCCUCUAGGAAUUAGACUAUGGUGUAAAUUUCUAGCUGAUUUGAGCCUCCUGGGAUUGGUGCUUUUUGACUAGUUUUUGCAGCAGAUGGCGAGAUCACAACAGCUCUUCCUGUGUCUAGCCCCUUUUAGUGUUGGAUAUUUUAACUAAGAAGUAAUAAGAUUUCACUAAAUCAUGGUCAGAUUUUUUUAAACUUGGGUCAUGAGUGUGAAAUCCUUAAAAUUUAUGUUAAAAGUAGGUGUAUAUACAAUUUUAUAUUAAAAGGAAGGAAAUUGUAGCAACUUUUGAUGUUUCUUAAUCUCUGUCAGAGAAAUUAAUCUACCCAAAUGAUCCAUUAAGCAUUCAGAGUGUCUUUUGGUUCCUUGGAAAGAGGAAAAAUAAAUUUUUGCUUGUUUGCUUGUCAAAAGCUAGGAAAGAGAAAAUUUUUCUACGUAGUGAAUUAGAUGUCAGAAAAAAAAUUCUUUUUGUUCCCGAUUUUCAGUUUGUGAUAUUAUCUUAAUUUAAAAUAAUUUUCAAUAAAUUCAAAAUUUUAAACAUUUUGGAAUAAUCACACAAACAAGUACAUAGAGUUAUAUAUAGGCCCUUAAUUAGUCCCCAAACAUAAGCCAGUUCCACAGACUAAAAAACCUUUGAAUUAAGAGAAAACCUGGUCCUCUUGAACACAGACCCUGCCACACAUCUAAAAAUUUAUACUGUAAAUCAAGCCUUUUCUCCAAGGAUCUGCCUGCAGCCUGUUGCCAGGGUAAUAGUGCAUUAGAGAAGGGGAAAUUUAAGGUUAAAAGGGAUUCUAGUCAGUGUCUUCUUACAUGAAUUCUAGAAGACCUAAAGCAACACUAUUUUCCAUCAAUAUCAAUGGAGUUUGACUCUGGUCUGUCACACAGUGGGCCCCUCAACCAACACUAGAGAUAUUUUCACAUUUCUGGAAUGCAUAAUUGAAAUAGAUGUAUUCAAUAGCUGAGUUCUCCCUUUGGUUCUCUGGCCCAUGGAAGUGAGAGAAAGUACAAGCCACUAAAUUUGCAUCUGCCUGGCAAAAUACUAAGGAUUUGAAAAAUGCUGAAGUAGUGAUUUCUACUAUGUCCUCAUUUGGCUUUGAGGAAGACAGGUGCAUCUUUGAGAAUGACAGUGGAUUAUUGUAAACUUAUCAGGUGGUGGUUUCUAUUACAGUUGUUUCUGAUGUGCCUAUUAGUAAACCCAGUUUCUCACCAUCAGAAUCAGUUUGCUUUUAGCUGUUGAGGCCAGCAGGGCACCUUUAUUAGCCUCAUAAAACCUCAGGGUUACAUCAAAUCUUAUAUGAUAGUAUAGUCUGAGGUCCUGGACAGCCUCUUCCUGACACAAAUUAUAUCAGUCCAUUAUAUUAAUACCAUUCUGAUUGUUCUGGUGAGUAAGAAGUAAUUACUCCUUCAAACAUUUUGGUAAGGUGCAGGCAUGUUGAGCAAUAAAUCCCAUCAAAAUUGAGAAUCUUGAAUGAACUUUAUAGGGGUUUAAUGAUUCAGAGCAUAAGAUACUCUUUCCAAGGUAAAAGAUAACUUGCUGAAUCUGGCCUGUGCCAUCACAAAGAGGCACAUUUGGAUCUUAAAGGAAACAUAUACCUUAUUUUAAUAAAAUGGAGAAUGUCCCCAUUUCCAUGAACACAGCUAUGUUCCAUGGCCCCAGUCAGAAGCUCCAAAGCCAUUGUUUUUCAUACAGUAUCUGGAGUCAAUUCUGUCCUCUUACUAUUUUAUUUCUAGUGGACCCUUCACUAUCAACUCUUAUGUCAAUUAAACCUUUAAACUUCUCAGAUUGGUGAUUUCUUUUAGUUUGUCCCUUCAUUGUUAAUAUGAAUUUUUAAAUCAAAAAUGUUUGUUUUUAUCAAAAUAAAUACAUAUUAUAGAAAAUGUAAAAGAAAAGUUAUCCACAUUCUAUCACAUUUUUACAAAAUUCAUAUUGUAAUAAUACUUUUGGUAAUCUUUUUAAUGUAAUGAUAUAAUGUGUAUACAUAUUUUAGACAAUUACUCUUUUUUUUAUAACUUUAUUUUAUUUACUUAUUUUUUAUGUGGUGCUAAGGAUCGAACCUCACACAUGCUAGGCAAGUGCUCUAUCACUGAGCCACAACCCUGGUCCAUAAUGUAUAUUUUAUAUGCCAUUGUUUUGUACAUUUCUUUAGCAUGUUAUAAUUUAUUCAUCUUUUGUUGAACAAACCUAUUUGUUCUAAUAUAAUGCUGUACAAACCUAUUUGCAAUUAAAUCCUUGGUCCUUUUUUAAAAAAAAAUUCAGAAAUAGAAUUGGAGGGCCAAAUGGAUAUUUAUUAUCAAGUUUUAAAAAAAAUAUUUAUUGCCAAUUGCUGCUUGUCCAAAUUGACCUAGUUUUUUCCUACCAGUGUGAUAUGAAAGUAUCUGUUUAUUAACAUCUCAUCAGUAUCAGAUUUUUUUAUUCCUUAACACCAUUUGUUAUCUCAGUCUUUUGAAUUAUUAAUCUCCUUUUCAUCCUUUACUUAGGAAGCAUAAUAAACUCUUUGAGAUGGCAUUUGUAUUCAUUCAUUCAUUUGCCAAAUUGUACUAUAAUGGUAAAAAGAAUGGAACUCGGUUUCAACUUUUGUGCAAGUUACUAGUCCAAAAAGUUGUAGUUUUAUAACAGUGGUGUUAUAUUUAUGCUGUUGUGUCCUUUUCUGCCUUGCAUGAUUACAGGGUACUUGGAGCCCGUGAUAAAGGACAAUCUUGAUUGCACAGCGAUCCUUUUAGCAGUUGGCCAUAGAUAACGUGUCAUUGAACUGGAAAUCAGCAUGAUAUAUGUAUAUAAAAUAUCAAAUUAUUCAUACAAAACUAUCGGUGAACCUUUAAGAUUCCUGUUUUUUCCUGAAGUACUUUUAUUGUUAUACUCCUCUGCUAUAUUAAGUGUUUUGGUCACUGUUCUUCUCAGGGCAAAUUAUAUUUUAAUGAUGGUUUAUAUGUAAUAUUUCAGGCCUUAUAUGAUUUUUUUUCUUCAAAGCACUUAUAAUUUGCUUAAUGAUGAACUUAUGCUAAGAAAGUUUAAUUUUUAAAACUUGUCAUGCUUUAAGAUGGUUCUAAAGAGUUUUAUGGAUUCCAGAAGCCUUUCUUGAAACCGUAUGUAUAUGCAUGCUUUUCCCAUAAUUUAUACAAAUUUUUCCCUCCUUCAAUUAUAGUAUUCUAACAUAGCCAGUUACAUUCUUGCAAGUGUUCCCUAAUGCUGCACCAGUAAUGUUUGUUUCAUCCUCUUAUGCAGCUAUUUGGUUCACACUUUAGUGACUAUGAAGAGCUUGCAUUGCAUGUUAUAUGGUAUUACCUGUGAUAAAGUAUCAGGAUUUAGAGGGCUUUCUAAAAUGAUGGAUGAAUGCUAAUGAGCAACAUUUGUUAGGUUGUUAGUCUAUUACUAAGCCUACCUUUCCUUAGUUUAAAUGACGGUUAAUUUCUCUGUGCAAUUUAUCCAAAUUGGACAUUCAGAUCUUCACUUAAUCUUACCAGUAAAAGCCCAGGUUUCCUGGAAAAACAAUGAAUCUGUUUUAGGUGUAUUUGCAGUGGUACCUUCUAAUGGCAUUGGAAUUCCUAUUUACACAUUUUCCCCAAGAAUUCCAUAAACUAUUGAAUGGAAGAGUAAACAUAAUUUGAUUUUGAAGAGUUUAUUUGAAUUUGGUCUUUUGUUUUGACUCAUCAGUUUGUGCCAAUUUUUAGUGUUUUGAGGUUUUUGUUGUGAUACAAUUCACGCACAAUAAAUUCACCAUUUAAAGUGCAAGAUUCAGUAUUUUUAAAUAUAUUGACAAUACUAUUCAGUCAUCAAGAUUAUCUAAUCCCGGAACAUUUUCAUCACCCUAAAAAUAAAUUUCUUUAGCCAUUUUUGUCACUUCCCUCAGCCCCUCACAACCACUCAUCUAUUUUGAGAUUCUAAGGAUUUGUCUAUUCAGAAUAUAUAUUUAUGUAAUUCAAGUGGGACUCAUACAAUAUGUAGUCUUUUGUGUUGACUUCUUUCUCUUCAUGUUUUCAUGAUUCAUUCAUGCUGUAGCAUGUUUCAGUAUUGGAUUGAAUAAUGGUUUAGCAAUAAUGUGCAUAAUAUUAUUUAUUCAUCCAAUUGAUGAAAAUUUGAUUAUUUAUAAUUUUUUACUAUUAUGAAUGAUAUUACUAUAAACAUUCAUAUGCAAGUUUUUGUGUAUAUGUUUUCAUUUCUCUUGGUUACAUUGUUAAGAAUGGAAUUUCAGAGACUAAGGUAAUUUCAUGUUCAAUAUUUGAAGAACUGCCAAACUGCUUUUCAUAGUAGUUGCACCAUUUUACUUUGUUACCCACAAAGCUAAAGGAGUCCAGUUUCUUCUUGUCAGUACUUUUUAUUGUCUGUUUUUAAAAUUAUGGCCAUCCUAGUAUAUAUGAAAUAUAUUUCCUUGUGGUUUUGUUUUACAUUUUCCCAAUGACUAAUGAUAUGAAGCAUCUUUUCAUAUGCUUAUUGGCUAUUUGAACAUCUCUGUAGAAAUAAAGUCCAAUCUUUUUCUUUUGUGUGUGUGUGUGAGGGGGCUGCCGGGUAGUGCUGGGUAUUGAUCCCAGAGUCACUUAACCACUGAGCCACAUCCCCACAACUUUUUAAAAAAAUUUUUUUUUUGUCAGUGGACCUUUAUUUAUUUAUAUGUGAUGCUGAGAAUUGAACCCAGUGCGUCACACAUGCUAGGUAAGUAUUCUACCUCUGAGCCACAACCCCUUUUAAAAAUAUUUAAGGGCUGGGGUUAUGGCUCAGUGGUAGAGCACUUGCCUAGCAUGGGUGAGGCACUGGGUUCGAUCUUCAGCACCAUAUAAAGAUAAAUAAAUAAAGGUAUUAUGUCCAUCUGUAAUUUUAAAAAUAUUUAGAUACAAGGCCUUGCUAAGUUGCUGAGGCUGACUUUGAUCUCCCAAUCCUCCUGUCUGAGCCUCCCAAGCUGUUGGGAUUACAGGUAUACUCUACUGUACCUGGCUUUAGUUGUCAUAUCUGAGAAACCAAUGCCUCUUCAUAACUCUGCAUAUAUGAGGAAAGUGCUAGUACCCUUGCAGACCUUGUCACAAACCUUCUAACAAGCCCAUAAAUGGUUAUUUUGUAUUUUAAUUGUAACAUGAAAGAAAGUUUGAAUAUUCAAACCAUGAAGAAGAUUAUGUCUGCUUGAUUUAGAGCUGAAAUUCAAGGAAAUUUCAGUUGUUCCCUAAUAUUUUGCCACAAAGGACACCAUAGGAAUAAAGUGUGUUCAUGUGUUUUUAAGCCCAUGAUUACCCAUAAAUGGACCUUUCACAGGAUCUGUCCAUGACAGGUUAUCUUCUGGACCUUUUCUGCUACUCAGUAAUUUGAUUUCUAAUGUGCUUUCAGUGAUUAUGUUUGGUUUCCCUAAUUAGAGAUUUCAACAAAAUCAGUUAUUAUUCAUCUGAUCAAGUCAGUCUUAUAUAGCAAAUAAAACAUAUGUUUUUCCCCAUGGAGAUUAAGUGAGUAGUGUUGAUUAAAUCUGUUUUGGAAAUAGAAUGAUAAGGUAGAUUAAGUCUAUUAAUUGGGUGAUUUUUUUAUACUGCUUACAUAUGCAUUUGGUCAUUAGCUUAUAGACUAUUCUCAACUGGGGGCAGUUCCUACUCCUGUGGGCUGUUUAGAAGUGUGUAGAAUAUUGUUUCGACACAGUGAUUCAGCAGGGUAUGGGGUAAAUUGUGUGCUACUAACACUUGGUGGCUGGGGGCCAAUAAUACCAGACUUCUUUUGGGGGCGUGGGGGACUGACAUUGUGCAGUGUGAGAGGGGCAGAUUCACCCAGUUAAGUCUACCCAGAAUUGUAAUAACACCACCACUGAGAUACGCUGAUAACUAAAUUUCUUGUGCAUUUCAAUAAUACUUAAAAUAUUUCAUUAACUAUAUUCUAGAAUCUUAUAAUAUUUUCUAGGAAACUAUUCAUAAACAACUUUCCACAUAGAUAUCGGAGUAAGCUUUUGUGUGUAUUUGUGGAUAUAGAAUUCUAACAUCACAGAUUUCUCAAACUUUUAUACCAUAGUACACCAAAACACAGAGAAGAGUAGGUUGUCCUUCCAGUUGGUGGAUAUUUUGAGGAAGGGAUGACUUCAAAAUCUCAAUUUUAAAUUUAAAUGAAAUUUGCACUUGUUUUUCUAGAUUGAGAUGCAGCUUGUAUACAAUAAAAUUUGCUGGUUUUAAUUGUAACUACUAUUCCAAAUCAAGAUAUAUUGUGUUAAUUUCUACCCCUAUUACUUCAUUUUUAUGACCCCCAGAAAGUUCCAUCAUGCCUUUCACCAUCCCCAACCAUUGGAUCAUAGGACAGGUGUAUGUUUAACUUUACAAAGGACUCUAAAUUGUUUUCCGGCUGUUUGUACUAUUUCACACUCCUAUUAGCAGUAUUUUUGUUUGUUUAGUGUUUUUGGAAGAGCAAAGGUUUUAAUUUUGAUAAUAUAUAAUUUAAAUUUUUUAUGAUUAUUGCUUUUUGUGUCCUUAAAAAAUAAUUUUAUAUCCCAUGUUUUCCCCUAAAAGUUUUAUAUAGUUUUUUUUUUUUUUUCAUUUUAGAUCCUUGAUCUAUCAUGAUAUAAUUUUUGUGUCUGGUAAGGUGGGGAUGACAUAGUAUUUUUAAAAAAAUUAUCAUUGCCAGUUGUUUGUUGCUAAUAUAUCAAAGUAGUUGAAUUUUGUAUAGAUCUUGUAUCCUCCAUUCUGCUAACUUCAUUUAACCCACUAAGUCACUAGUUUUUAAUUCUGUAUUUCAACAAAAUGGUACACAGGUGCAUUCAAAUAGAUUAUAAAUCAUAACCUGGAACUUAUAUAUAUAUUAAUAUUAUAUAAUAAUAUUCUAAUUUUCUAAUUAUAUGUAUUUAUAUGUCACAUACUAUAUUUAGUUUUUUUAUAGAUGUUCAACAUUUGAGAUGAUUGAACGUAACGGGUUAAUUGUUAUAGAGGGUUUUUUGUGUAAAUUCUUUAGGAUUUGUUAAACAAUCAUGUUAUCUACAACUGAGAUAAUAGUUCUUCCACCAUUCCAUUUUUAUGUUCUUAAUUUCCUUUCUUGCCUAGUAAGAGCAGACAUUUUUGCCUUAUUCCCAAUCUUAGAGGAAAAGCAUUCAGCAUUUCACUCCUAAUAUGAUACAUAAUAUUUAUGCAUAGUGGUACAUGCCUGUAAUCCCGGCUACUUGGGGGGUUGAGGCAGGAGCAAUUUACUGAAAUCCUGUCUCAUAAAACAGAUAUACAUACUUAAAUUUAUAUUUGUGUAUUAUAAUAUUGAUGAUAAGUUUUUCAUAGAGCAGUUUUCUUCUCUUCCUAGCUGAGAGCUCAAUUAUGGUGAAUGUUAAGUUUUGUCAGGGGUGUGAAUUUGGGUAUCUUAUUUUAGUAUAUGAGUUCUCUUCUUUAUUCUUGACUUGUAUUGAUUUUAAAAUUUGAACCCAUCUUUUAAUCCUGGGAUAAAUCUCACUUGGUCAUAAUAUAUAAUUGGUUUUACAUGUUUCUGAUUCAGUUAUGUUUCAUUUAUUUUGCUAGAACUUUUACAUUCAUGUUCAUGAAUGAUAGUGGUUUGUAAUUUUCUUUUAUUCUAAUGUCCUUGUUAUUUUUGAUUGAAGUUUUAUAAAUGAUUUGGAAAAUGUUCCUUCUUCCUCUAUUUUUGUUUGAAAGUGUUUGUGUAGGAUUGGUCUCAUUUCCUACUUGGACAGAAGUUCAGUGAAUCCUAGAGUUUUUUUUGUGAGGAAUGCUCAAUAUUGGAUUUUCUCUUUCUUUUUUAAUUGAUUUUUGUAAAGCUGUAUUUCUCAAAGAAUUUUUGUACUCAUCUACAUUGGCAAGGUCAUUCACAAAAUUAUUUAUAAUGCCUCAUAAGUCUAUUAAUCUUUUCUAAAAAUUAACUUAUGGCUUAAAUUUUUAAAAUUUUUCAUCUGUUUCCUAUUGUGUUAAUUUCUAUUCUAUUACUUCCUUUCUUCUACAUGAAUUGAAUAAAUAUUUUCUUUUCCAACUUCUUCAGUAGGGAUUUUGCAUAAUUGACUUUAUACCUUUCUUUUCUAACAUAAGCAUUAAAAGCUAUACAUUUCCUUUAUCUUUCUGCUUUAGCUCCACCCUCAGAUCCUUUGAUAUGUUGGAUAUUUGUUUUUAUUAUUAUUUAGUUUGAAAAUAUCUUCUAAUUUUCUUUUGGUGUUAUCUUCUUUGGCAUACAGAUUAUUUAAUAGUAUGUCAUUUUAAUUUCCAAAUGUUCUUAUUUUUAUUGUGGUCAGAAAACAGAGUCAGUAAUUUCAUUCCUUCUCAGCUUGCUAUGACUUGGCCUAGUGCAUGACUUACCUUGAUAAAUGUCAUCUCUGCCCUUGAGAAGGCUGUGUGUUUCUGCAGUGUUGAGUUAAUGUCUGCAGGAUUUCCUUGUCCUUACUUAGAUUUUUGGCUGUUUUUCCCAUUGGUUCUGAGAGAAGUGUUUGCUUUUUCUUUUUUUUUAAACUAUGAUUGUACAUUUGUCUGUUUAUAAGUUUUUGCUUCUCUUGUUUAAUGGUUUGUUUUUAGGUGCAAAUCUAUUAUGUCUUUCCAUUUUAUCAUUGUGAAGUGACCCUCAUUUCUAAUAAUAUUCUUUGUCUUGAAUUCUGCUUUAGAAUGUUCAUUCCACUUACAGUUAAUGUAAUUGUCAUUAUGAUUGGAUUUAAGUCUAUCAUCUUACUAUUUACUUAUUUAUUUUUAAUAUUUAUUUUUUAGUUGUAGUUGUCAAUACCUUUAUUUUACUUAUUUAUUUUUAUGUGGUGCUAAGGAUCGAACUCAGGGACUUGCACUCGCUAGGUGAGCACUCUACCGCCGAGCCAUAACCCAGCCCCAAACUAUUUUUUUUUUUUGUUAAUGCUUUUUAAAAAGGUAAUUUGCCCUUGAUUUUAAAAUUGGCUGUUAGCAUUGUUUUUCCCUAAUUUCAAAGAAUUUUUUUGUGGGGGGAACACUACUAGGGAUUCAACUCAGGGAUAAUUUACUACUGAGCUACAUAUCCACCCCUUUUUAAUUUUAAUUUUGAGACAUGGUCCUGCUUAGUUUUGAGCCUGGCCUCAAACUUGCCAAAACUAAGCUCAAAUUUGCAAUCCUUAUCCCUUAGCCUCCAAAAUGCCUGGGAUUACAGGCAUGCCAGGUCACCUCACCUGGCCAAAGGAUCAUCUUUUUUUUUUUUUUUUUUAAAUUUUAUUUUUUUUUAUAUUUUUAUUUGUGCAUUAUAGUUGUAUAAUGGUGGAAUUUGUUGUUACAUAUUCAUAUUUUUACACAACAUAACAAUUUGGCCAGUAUCAUUCAUUCUCCAGUGUUUUUUCCCUUUCCCUCUCUUCCUCCCUCCCCAUCCCUUUCCUCUACUUUACCAAUCUCCCUGCAAUUGUCUUUUUUUCCCCUCUUUUCACUUUUUUUUUUUUUUUGGUACUAUACGGUUCUACAUAAUGAUGCUACAUAUUCGUACAGGCAUACAAUAUAACAAUGUAAUUUGGUCUAUAUCACUCCCUUCACCCCCUGGUCCCUUUCCUCUACUGAUUUUCCUGAGAUUGCCCCUUGCACCAAUUUUCCCUCUUUUCCUCUCUAGCUUCUGCAUAUAAGAGAAAAUAAAUGACCCUUGACCUGCUGAGUUUGGUUUAUUUCACUAAACAUAGUGAUUUCAAUUUCUAUCCAUUUUCCUACAACUGACACAAUUCCUUUUUUUUUUUUUCUUUAAAGGCUGACUCCAUUGUGUGUAUAUACCAUGUUUUCUUUACCCAUUUUCUGUCAGUGGACACCUAGCCUGGUUCCAUUGUACAGCUAUUGUGAAUUGUACAUGGAUAUGCCUGUGUCACUGUUGUAUGAUGAUUGAUUCUUUAGAAGUGAUAUAGCUGGGUCACACAGUAGUCCAUGCCUACUCUUUUGAGGAACUUCAUGCUGAUUUCCAUAGCAGCUGUACUAAUUUACAAUUCCACCAACAGUCUAGAAGUGUUCCUUUUUUUUUCACAUCCUCUCCAGCAUUUAUUAUUAUUUGUUUUCUUGAAGACUGCCAUUCUGGCCUGUAUGAGAUGGAAACUCAGUGUAGUUUUGAUUUGCAUUUGCUUAAAUGCCAAUGAUGUUGAACUUUUUUCAUAUAUUUCUUGGCCAUUUGUAUUUGUUUAAUUUAUUUUCCCAUUUAUUAAUUGGGUUAUGUGGUUUUUUGGUGUGAAAUUUUUUGAGUUUUUUAUAAUAUUCUAGAGAUAAUCCUCUGUAAAAGGAGUAGCUAGCAAAGGAUUUCUCUCAUUCUGUAGGUUCUCUUUUCAGAAUCCUGGUUGUUUCCUUUCUUAUGCAGAAGCUUUUAAAUUUGAUUCCAUCCCAUUUAUUAACUGUCGGCAUUAUUUCCUAAGCUUUAGUGGUCCUAUGGAGAAAGUCAUUGUCCAUGUCCAUAUAGGGUAAACACUUACCCUAUGUUUUCUUCUAGGAGUUGCAGUUUCUGUUCUAAUUCCAAGGUCUUUGAUCCAUUUUGAGUUGAUUUUUAUGCAGGGUAGGAGAUGAGGUCUAUCAUGUAGGACCGGAGAAAUGAAAAGUUGUGCUGCAGUUGUGUACAAUGAAUCAAAAUGUGUUCUACUGUCAUAUAUAACUAAUUAGAAUAAAUGAAAAAAGAAAGAGAGGUAAGAUCUAGCUUCAUUCUUCUACAUAUAGAGAUAACCAGUUUUCCUAGCCCACUUGUUUAAAAGGCUGUCCUUUCUCCAAUGUUUUUUUGCACCUUUGUUAAGGAUCAGAUGAGUGUAUCUGUGUGGGUUUUUCUAUGACUUUCAUUCUGUAACAUUGGUCUAUGUGUCUUUUUAUGCAGUUUUUUUUUAUGCAGUUUUUGUUACUCUAGCUCUAUAGUGUAAUAUGAGGUCAAGUAUCAUGAUAUCUCCAGCAUUGCUUUUUUUGGCUUAGGAUUACUUUGGCUAUUCUGGGACUUCUGUUCCUUCAAAUCAAUUUUAGGACUGUUUUUUUCUAGUUUUGUGAAGAAUGUCAUUGGUGUUUUGAUGGGAAUUACAUUGAUUCUGAGCAUUUGAUUUCUUUCUUCAGUGUUCUGUAGUUUCAUUGUAGAGGCCUUUUACCUCCUUGGUUAGAUUUAUUUCAAGUUUGUUUUGCAUUCAUUUUUGUUUGAGGCUAUUGUGAAUGGAAUUGUUUCCCUCAUUUCUUUCUCAGCAGGUUCAUUGUUGCGUUAUAGGAAAGCUGUUGAUUUUUGUAUGUUGAUUUUGUAACUGCAACUUUGCCAAAUUUGUUUAUUAACUCCACCAAAAGACUGCUAGAGCUUUCUGGGUCUUCUAGGUAUAGGAUCAUAUCAUCUGCAAACAGUGAUCAUUUGACUUCUUCAUUUCCAAUUUUUAUCUCUUGUAUUUCCUUCUCUUGCCUAAUUGCUCUAGCUAGAAUUUCUAGUGCUGUAUUAAACAGGAGUGGUGAGACUGGAUCUUCUUGUCUUGCUCUGGACUUUAAAGGAAAUACUUUCAGUUUUUCCCCAUUUACUGUGCGAUUGACUUUGUUUUUUUUCAUAUUAUAGCCUUUACAAUGUUGAGGUAUGUUUCUUCUAUCCCUGGUUUCUUCGGUGUUUUUAUCAUGAAUGGAUGCUGAAUUUUGUUGAAGACCUUCUCUGUAUAUAUUGAGAUGACUAGUAAUUUUUCCCCUUAAUUCUAUUUAUGUGAUGAACUACAUUAAUUGAUUUGCAUAUGUUAAACCAUCUUGCAUCUCUAGGAUAAAACCAAUUUGGUCAUGAUAUGCAAUCCUUUAAUAUGUUGUUGAAUAAGAUUUGCUAAUAUUUUAUCAAGAAUUUUUGCAUGUAAGCUGGGCAGCAGCUCAUGCUUGUAAUUCCAGUGACUUGGGAGGCCAAGGUAGGAGAAUUGAAAAUUCAAAGUCAGCCUUAGCAGCUCAGCGAGGCCCUAAGGAACUUAGGCAGACCCUGUCUCAAAAUAAAAAAUAAAAAAGGCUGGAGAUGUGGCUUAGUUGUUAGGUGCCCCUGGGUUCAAUCCCUGGUAACAAAACAAAACAAAUAAAAGUGGUUUUUUGUAUUUAAGUUCAUCAGGGAUAUUGGUCUGUAGUUUUCUUUCCUUGGCAUAUCCUUGUCUGGUUUUGGUAUGAGUUUGAUACUGGCUUCAUAUUCAAAUUUUUUUCUUUUUCUUUUUCUAAUUAUUUAUUUAUUGGUAUGUGGUGCUGAGAAUAGAACCUAGUGCCUCACACAUGCUAGGGAAGCGCUCUACCACUGCGCCACAACCCCAGCCCUUCGUGGACAAAUUUGAAAGUGUUCCAUCCCCUUCUAUUUCAUGGAAUAAUUUGAGGAGUAUUAGCAUUAGUUUUUUCUUUAACGAUAUGGUAGGCUUCAUCUGAGAAUUUCUAUUUAUUUCUACUUGUCCCCUCUUACUUUUGUUUCACCUUUUUUUUUUUCAUCUUUUAAGUUAAUCAAGUAGUAUUUUUAGUAUUCCAUUCUAUAUCUUUUGUUGCCUUUUUAUCUGUACCUCUUUUUAUUUCCUAAUGAUUGUUGUAUCUACUGUUUAAAGAUUAAAUAUGCAUCUGUAACUGACUAGUCAACAUUGAAUUAAUACUGUUUCACAUAUAAUGUAAGAGCCUGUGAACCAUAUGAUUCUGUUACACACACACCCCUACCCUUUGUGCUAUUAUUGCUGUCACCUAUUUUACUUCUAAUUAUUCCAACCUUCACAAUAAAUUAUUAUUACUUGGUCAUAUAUCCUUUAAAGAAUUUAUGAAAGGAAAAACAAUGAGUUUAGAAAACUAAUAUUUACCAUGUCUGUGCCUUCAGUUUUUAAAUAAAUUCUUAUUUCUUUCUAGUAAUAUUUGCUAUCAGCCUGUCUACAACUCACCAAUUGUAGAAUUACUGGAGUUCUAAACAAAGCUACUGUCAAUAUAUUUAAAGGUAUUGAUAAAUAUACCUUUAGCUGUGAGGCACAGCAACCCUUAUCGAUAUUGUAGCCUUUUUAAAAAUUCACAGCUCUUCAAGGAUAAAAUCAAAGCUAGUUUUUAAAGAAAAAUGUUUAACUGGUAGUCCUUUGAAGAAAAUUUAACAAAAUAGUAGGUUAAACUGAUCUCUGGACAUAGUCUAGAUGAGUUUUUAAUGUGAGUGCUUUAGUAAACAUGUAGAGAAAACAACCACAUUUAUAAAUGGGCAAGUCCUAGCUUGACUUUUCAUCCUAGCCACAGGAAGCAGUCAGGUCACAUUGCUCUUCAGUGUUGACUAUUUAUUUCACUAUUUGCUCUUCAUAUGUGUUGUAGUACUUGGUGGUUUGAAUCACUUUCUCACUGUUCAGAGAAAAUGUAAAAAAUAAAAUACCAUUUUUAAUAACUCAUCUAGUGGCAGCUUGGGGGGCAGUGAACAGUUGAGAAAGGUUGUCAGAGGGCUGGGUACAAAUGGCUUUACCAACGUAAAUCCUUCAGAUUUAUUUGACUUAAAGCCAAGAAUGACAUCAAGAUUUUGAUUUAUAAGGUCCAGAGCCUAUAACAUGGUUCAUUUUCAUUGUUCAUUUGUGUAAGUGAUGAUAUUGGGUGACACUUUUCACAUGGUCAUCCUACAAACAUUGCCUGGUUACCACCAAGAGACAAAAAUUAUACAAUAUUCUCAGGUGCAAAAUCUUUCCCCUUUAGUGAGCGGUAAGUUAGAGGCAAUUGCAUUGCCCUGAAGACAUGUAAUGGUAGGGAAAAUACAAGAUGUCACUGAAGUACAAAGGAGUUGUGCCUGUGUAUAUCUGGGGUAAGUUUGUGCUUGCGAGCCUUGGGGAAAUGUAAUGUCUGAGUUGAAUUCUAAAGAGCAUAGGUGAUGUGACUUGAGGAUAGGACAGAUGGCUUGGAGAAUGGGGUUUUAGGAAGAGAGAAUGCAAUAUGCAGUUAGCUGCCUAGAUAAAAGAGGCAAAAAUUUAUUUCUAUGAUCAGUAGCUUGGGACAGGAAGAAAGGAAUGAGAGCAGAGACUGGGGAGGGAGGCUUUAGUGUGCAUGUUUGACCGUGUCUGUCAUGUGCGGGUAUUUAGACUUGGUUGGUUAGGUGAUUUUUUUCCAGUGGAACAUUUUAAGCAGGAAAAAAUAUUUUCAGGUAAUUUUUUAUUUUAGUGAUAUCAUUCACAUUACAGUGGAAGUAAUAUUCAUACCAAAUAUACAGGGAGUCUUUUGAAGAUUAUUGAAGUAAUCUAGGCAGGAGACACUAGAAGUGAAAAUGCAGGAAAAAGUAGAUGUUUCAAAACUGUUAAGGUAGAAUUGUUUAGUGUCAGACCAUUGAGGAAGAAAGGGUUGAGGAUGUCAUCCAGUUUUCUAGCUUGAGCAUUGCAUCUAAGUGGUAUUACCAUUCCUUGAAAUAAAGAGGAGAAAGGGAAAUUUCAAAACAUGUUGAAUUUAAAAUACCUUAAAGUACUUUAAGUUGGAAACUUCAUCAGAAAAUUGAACAAUAGGGUCUGGAAUUUAAGAAAGUGUUCUGUUUGAUAUCAAGAUUUGGGGUUGGUCGUUAGCAUAUGGCAACUAGUAAUAUUAUCCAUCUCUCUCACAGUUACAGAACUAGAAUGAGAACUCAAAGCCCAUGGUUCCAUGUUACACAAGUCUUUUUACUUCUGUAAAAGACUUUAAAAAUUUAUUUUUGUUUUUUAGUUGUCGACAGACUUUGAUUUUAUUCAUUUAUUUAUAUGUGGUGCUGAGAAUUGAACCCAGCGUCUCACAUAUGCAAGGCAAGUGCUCUAACACUGAGCCACAACCCCAGCCCCCCAAAUUCUAGGGCGGAAAUUGCCAUAUAGCGUUGUCUGUAUUCUGAAAUAACUCAGGGAGUAAAAUGAAGGUGGAUAAAGUGAGAUCAAAAGUUGCUUCAAAAGUUCUGCUUGUUGACCAGCAGAGGGCAGUCAAUAUCGAAGCUCACUAGUUUCUACUCUGCAUUGCCUUUAAGUCCUAGAAAGCUCCGUCUUUGGGAUAAGUAUUUUCAGUGUUCACAUUCCAUUGAAUCAGGCAUCCAGGGCAGUUCUAUUUAUUGUUGCUUUUGAGUCUUAUGUCCAAUUUUUAUUCUGGUUCCAUAUCUUUAUUUUAUUCCCUAUUCCCCAUGCCCAGUUCUUGUCCUCCUUACAGUUUAGGAGCUGUCUGGUAGCAGGGGAUUAAGUGGAUGGAAAGUAUGAGAAAGGUAGUGAAUUUUUGCUGUUCAACUCCUCUGUUUUAAAUGCCCCAGUUUUUGUUCUUGGUUAACUGUUAAAAUUCUAGGACACAUUUGUUUUCUUAGCCUUACUAUUCAAAGAAUGGAAUGAAAUGGAUUGACUUUUAGCUUCUAGAUCCAGUAUUGAUAAGGCUCUAGAAACUAAAAGCAGCAAGCUCUGCCACUGUUUGAUUGCAGGGAUGUAAGAAAAACUUUCUGCCCCUGGAUAUAUCCUUCAUUCAUGUGCCACUGUCUAAAAUGCCUCUUUGUCUACUUUUUAGCUUUAGGCACUCAAAGCUCCACUAAAAUUCAAAAAGUUCACUGAGGGAAACAAGAUAAGUGUGACAGCAUGAAUUAUUUUUCUUACGUUAUCAAGAACUUGAAAGAGAAGGAUGUGGGCAGGAAAAUCCAACCGGUUUUAACUAGAGGAUGGGAGAAAAGGUCUGGAGGUAGAAUUAUGCUCUUUCCUGUGAAUUUCCAUGCCUCCCAGCUGACUGAUGAUUUCAUUAUGAUCAUUAAAGGCCAACAUUUCUAGAGAGAAUUGUGUGUCAGGCACUGUUCUCAUUUAAUCUUCAAACUGACCUUAUGAGAUUAUUGCUGUUUACUGUCCCUAGUUUGCAGAUGAAGAAACUGAUGCACAGAGAAAUUGCUUGUCUACAAUUGCUUAUAAAAUUAACAACUAACUGAUGUUGACUGCUGUGCUGCCUACUAUAGCUCUGUGCCCAAUAACUCAGAUAAUUUUGCAUUGAACAGAGCAUGGACAAGCAUGAAGCUAGGUUACCUGGGAUGGUGACACUUGGGAACACAGACCCAUAUGAAGUCAGAGGACCUCAGCAGUAUUCCUGAGGCCACAGGAUUCAUAAUGCUGUUGUUCCUACUUCUUGGUAUAGCAAUCACCUAACCUUAAGGAAACGUGGGAAAAGAAAUACAAAAGUUUCAUUUCACAGCACUUGCUCUAUUAAGCUGAGGGGAUAAGAAUUUGGAUGACUGAAUAUUUUUAACUAUUUAAUGUCAUUCUUACAACAGUGUUAUUUCUCUGAAACUGGUAACUGACUAUAUUCAUGUUUUUCUUUUAAGAGUAAAAGAGUUCUUCAAAAGUGUUUUAUAAAAAUAGAAACUUUGGUGAUAUAAUUUAACAAAUUAACAAAGGCUAACUCCAUCAAUCUGGCAGUUUUGGAUUAUGUUUACAUUUGUUUGUUUAGGCUUCCUAGGGUAAUUAUGUAUUAGGUCAGUGAAUUGGUUCUUUCAUCUUCCAUUUUACCCUCUUUCUAUCCAGGUAAAGAAUUCGGAUUAAGGAACAUCCUAACCCAGAGAGUUGAGUGGGAGAACUGUUCCUCUGUUUUAGAAAUAAGCAUUGCAUUGUGACAGGAGCCUGUUAUUCUUUCUCAAAACUCUGUCCUUAACUAUGUUAGUGUUCUUUGGCAUUGACAGUGUAGUGUGACCACAGGUCAGACAUAGUCAGCUUUGGGGAGGAAGAUCAAAAUUACUGGCAGAAAGGCGGGUUUGGUAUUAGUUCUGAGUUAUCAGUGUACACUCCACUCCCUUCUCUGGAUAACUGAGAGGUAGCUGAUUUUUCUGGGCAGAUCAUUAUGAAGCGAACAAAUCAGAGUUGUAUCCUUUCUAGACCAUAAGGCAAGGGAAUAAAGAUGCUAGAUGUAUAUUUUGUAUCCAAGUUUCAGAAAGAUUAACUUUCUAAGUCAGUCACUAUUUGGGGGAAGACAAUGCUAUCACCUUUGUAAAGUUGUGAAUUAUGAAAGACAUUUCUGUGGGUUACUGAAUGUCCCUUGGGGUUUGUUUCAUUUAUAACUUUGCCUCAGGCCUUCUGCUGCAUCCUGUUGGAAUGACCUCCUUUUCAACCCUUUGUUGGCAGCUAUAAUACUGCUCUUUCGCCUGGAUCCUUCAGGCUUGUCACAUGACAAACAUGAACUGUGACCCCCUUUGUUCCUUACCCCAGAUGAUUAGGGGUGAUUUUUUUUUUUUAAUGCACAACAAGUUUUUUCUUAUUUUUAUUUCCUUUCCCCGCUUUUCCUCUCCUCUUAUUUCCUACCAAAAUAAGAUUGAAAACAAAAAAGGUAGCAAUUUAAUUUUGUAUCCAAAUGUAACAUUGAUGCAGACAGUAAACAAAUCAUAAGCCCACUGAAUUUUUACAUCUUGAACGUGUCCACAUGGACAGUAGUUGGAUCAAGUGGGGAAACAUCACCAGAACUUGAGAAGACCCCUGUCCCCUCUAGUCACUUCUUAGUUGCCCCAUGGGACUCACUGUUGGGACCUUUAUAGCUUUAUCUGUUCGGAGACUUUGUAGAAAUGGAAUCAUACAAUAUAUGUGUCUGUGUUCUUUCAUUUAACAUUUUUGUGAUAUUCAUUCAUGUUACCCAUUUGUUAUUGCUGUAUAAUAUUCCAUGGUAUGAAUAUUCCACAAUUUAUUCCACUUAUAUUAAGUAUUGGGGUUGUUUCUAGUUGGACUAUUGGGAUUGGUAGUGCUAAUAUUCGUGUACAUGAGUUUUGAUUAAAAUAUGACACAUUCCUGGGUAUUUACAUAGAAGUGGAAUUGCUGAGACAUAGUAUCCAUCUAGCCAUUUAAUUGAAAAAAUCAGAUAAAUAUAACACUAAUUUUAGACAAACUCUUGGUAGGAAACAUUUUUAAAAAUGUAUAGAUUUAGCUUUAGCAUAAUAUGUCUAAUUUGUAACUAAAGAAUGUGCCUCUAUUUAAAUAUACUGUAGUUUUAAACAGAUAACUCCUAUAAACAAGAAAAUUGCCCCUCUCUGCCAAUGACAUAUUUUACUAACUUUCUUCCUAAAGUAUACUUUUAUUCAGUUUUCCAAAACUGAGUUGGGGGGCCUAUUCUGCAAAGAUCUUGGAUAGUAAUAAUUUAUAGUAAUUAAGGCGACAUCCAAGUUGUACCAUCCCUGAGUAGUGAUGCCUACAGAGAAUGACUUUACUCACAUUUCUUGAAGCAAAGCAAUUACAUGAUAAUGAAACUCAGAAAAAAAACAAAAGUUGCUGCCAGAAUUAAUAGGACCCCGGCUUUGAUCUGUUGUUUGGUGUGUCUUUGCUCUUUCUCCAUAUGCUACUUAUGACAAGCAUCCAUCUCUUCUAAAACAUGGGCUUUCCAAAAUUUGUUCCAUGAUUUCUUGUGAAUGAGUUUAACCUAAUGAGUGUAGAAAUACAAUUGUGACAUCCCAUCUCUCAAAAACUGGAUAGUACCUUUUAUGAAAGUGUUACUUGACUAUCAGAUAAAGUACCUCCCAAGUCAUUCUACCAACAUGCAUGGAAUUAAGUUGACUAUUUUUCACCCUGGUGAUUUGGAGACCCUAAAGAAUUUCCUUCCCCUUCAUCAAAACAAUUCAAUCAGAAGUGUGAAGGGCAUGGUUAAUUAAAAUUUGAUGGUUAGGCCUGGGGAUAUAGCUCAGUUGGUAGAAUGCUUGCCUUGCAUGCACAAGGCCAUGGGUUCAAUUCCCAGCACCACACAAAAAAAUUGAUGGUUAUAAAAGAAUAGUAAGAGAACAAAAAGAUUUGCUUCCUAUGUUUGUUAAAUAUCUUGUAUAAGUCUUGAGCAGAUAAAGAAGAGUUGCCAAUUCAAUGGACAUGUUUUUUGAAACAAGUAUGGUAAAUGAAAGAAUUAAGAGAUUUUACUUUUAUAAAAUUAUCUUUUGAGAAUUAUUUUUAAUUUCUUUAAAUUUUGUCUUAAAAUAUUAGUAUAUAGACAUUAUUAUUUAAAAACUGUCUUAAUAUAGGAGUGUUGAGUUUCACUAAUUCUUUUUAAUGAUGCUCACAUUGGUUGUUCUGGGGUUUGGUUUUGUUUUGGUUUGGUUUGGUUCUUAUUUGAACCAGCAGAUUCAAUGCAGAAAAUAUUAUUGAAUAAUCUGUGUUGUUUUUUGUACUUUGUUCAGCCUAGAAGGAACAAAAAUGAUAAUCUCUGUCCUCAGAAAACUUCUGGUCUUGGGGGCAUGUGUUGGUGAUAUACAAAUUAUUGUCACACAAUGUAAAGUAACUGAACAUGAGAAUUCCGACAGACGGUGGGGGGGGCAGGGCGACCCAUUCAAAGCACAGUCUUAUUUUUACUUUUACUAUCAACAUCCAAAAGAUUACACAUAUUUACAGUGUACAAUCUAAUAGUUUUUAAUGAAUUCAUACACCUAUGAAAUCAGCUGUUGCCAGGGUCCAGCUGAAAGAAUGAGGUCAUGGAAGAGGUGGGUGGCCUUUGGAGAUCAGGCAUGCCUGAUCUCCAGGACCCAGAGGGUAGUGGGCUAGACUUGACAGACCUUUCCUUUGUGAAAGAUCCUUAAGUUAAACUGCUUCUCCUUUUAUUUUGUUUAGGGAUUAAAAGACAACUUUCUUGCUUCCGGGGCAUCAAGCCUGACAGCCACCAAACAGUUGCUUCGUCCAAGAAUCACGAGAGUCUGCCUCAGGGACUUGAUAUUCUGUAUGGAACAGGAAAGGGAGAUGAAGUAUUCUCGAGCUCUGUACCUUGCCCUUCUGAAGUGACCGCUUCCAUCCAGAUCCUUGCUAUUUACUGCCAAAGAAGACAAAAAAAAGAGAUGCACUGUCCUGAAAUCUCUCUUUCUGGAAAAUCAGUCACCAGUAUGAAAGACCACUGUUUACAGUUAGAAGUUUUUACUAAAUCUUACCUGUACAGCUCAUGGGGUUCUUAUAGCUGAGAAUUCAGUUUGAUCUUCUGAAAAUCAGUUGUGCAGUACCCUUUACAGAGAAGUAGCAUCUGCCCCCCUGUGAGUUUAAUUAUAGCAAGUUAAGGCUCCGUUUGUUACUACCUGCUUCAUUUGCCAAACUUCAUUUGCCAUGAGGUGUCUUUCCCUUAGUACCUCCUGCAUUGAGAUGUGGGAGAAAAGACGAGUUACCACUUACCAAGAAAAGGUAUUUUGUCCUACACUGAGCCUAUCUCAAAGUGUUGGGCUUUCUAGGCUGGAAUCAGAAGCUGCUUAGCUAACUAUGACAGUGGUCACCUUCUCUAGUUGAAGGUGACAGGCCACAGAGUAAGCCUUUGGUAACUUGGGUUGGCUGAGCCCCAUUGUUGUCCAGAUAAGACACAUGGGGACAGGUUGUGCCUGAGGUUGCUAAUUCUCUGGCUAAUCUCACUAUGUGCUGCUUCUGAUACCAAGUUGGGGGACGUCCUUGUCAGGAAAACCUUACGGUUGAAGCUGCUGCUUAUAUACCCUGUUGGAAAAUGGGAAAGGUGGGAAGCACUGGAAGGAAUAAUGAAGGGAAGAAGAAAAUGGAAUCCUAAGACAGGAAGUGUGCUGCGUGUGCCCAGGGAUGGAGGGAUGGAAUCGGAACUCCUAAUAAACUGGUACAUGUUCUGUUGAUGAAGGGAGAAAAAUCACAGUCCAACUAAAAAGGAAAAUGGUCAUCAAACAUUUUCAAAGGGUGUUAUGAGGUUAAAUGAAGAAGCAAAAU
rnacentral:lncRNA from 1 species